CAGAAAAGGCGGUCUCAUCACGAGUUUGAGCCAUGUCAUACGCUAAACUUAUUGUAUAAUCCCUGUAUACUGUUGAACGUAGUUCGUUGAAACGAGUUAUAAAAGCGUGCUUCACCUAAAAAGAAAAUUUUUGGAUUUCUGAAGUUGAAAAUAUAGACAAUGCCAGCUAUUAUAAAUGCUUAAAUUUAAUUAUUAGAAAAAUAAAAAAUGAUAUAACAAAGCUUCAAUGAAGAAACUCGCUCAUAAACAAUAAUCCCGAUAAUAGAUGAACGUUGAUUAAUAAAGGAGGUUCAAUGCACUUUUGAUAAUUCAGGAGACUGCACUUAUUUUUUAUAAAAUAUGCACUUUUUACAAUAUAUUGAUUAUUCAUUAACCUUCCUGAAUAUUGCUUUAGUGUAUUUCUGAGAUUUAAGAAAUUAUGUUUGAAGAUGUUUCUUUCACAAAGUAUGCAUUUCUUCUGGAAGUCGAUUGGCAUUGAUUAUCAGCCCUUUGUUAGAAUUUAAUAAUAUUUCAACAAUUUAAGAUAAUGCAUUUAGUUACAACCUUCUUGCAAAAUAUGCAUUUUUCCAGAAGAAAGACGAUCAUCAUUAUUCAUCAGCCUUUCGAAAUAUCUUGAUGUAACUUAUAUAGUAAUAUAAGAGAUUGCAUUUGAAGAUUUUUUCUUUUUAUUUUAUGAAAUUUGAAUUUUUUUAUCGAGUAUAUAUUUAUCAUAAACUUCGAUAUGGAAAGUUCUUGUCGCAUAGUACGUAUUCUUGGUAUAUUUAUUAUCUCCAUUUUAAAUAAACAUAACAGUUGGUAAUUUAUGAUUAAUCGUUUUUGAUGACAUUUUCUUUUUAUUUUAUUUAUUUUUUUCUUCUUUUCAAAUUCGAUGUUUUAAUCUUAUAUUAUAUUUUAUUCGAAUAAUGUCAUUUUCGCUUUAAUUUUAAAUCCUGUUAUUAUCAAGAAUAUGCAUAUUACCAACACCUUAAAUAUGCUCCCAGAGAACGAAUCUAGCAACAUGAUUUGAGUUAUAAUCACAAAAAAAAAAAUAUAAAUAUUACAUGUAACAUAUUAUACUAUACACAUAGUGUACAUAUAAAAUACAUAUUAUAAUUAUUAUUGUUAUAAUAAAUUUUUAACAAACAAGCGAGCGACAACUAAAAUUUUUUAAAAAUAAUCUUAUAGAUAAUCUUAUAUAUCAUAUAUAUAUCAAUAUAAAUCAAGGUCAUCAGAAGUGGAUUCUCAUAUUUACCAAAAUUGUUAUGUAUAAAAUCAGAAAGCAGAAAUUAUACAUAAUAAGAAAUAAAAAUCCAUGAAUCAUGUUGAAAUCA